GGCCCUGGAAACAUAUACGCUCAGGGCUAGAGCUAGCAAGUUUAUCCUUUCUGGAGAUUGCUAAGGGAAGGAGCCCAGGUUUAGAGACCUGGCCAGAGACAUUUGGUAAUCUGCUUUGCUGCUUAUAAGGACUGCAGCUUCAGGAGCCUACAAGGGACCAGGACUCCCCCACCGUCAUUCAAGACGGACUCGAGGAGAACGCCUCAAGACCUAAGGUUGAGGAGGACCGAGGGUAUUCAUGAGGCACAGAAGCAACAAGUGCUGAAAAGGGAAUAAGCAGCUGAAGGGCAUGUCCACCAAGAUGAGAGGCUCGGGAAGCAAUGGAUUUUAAACUCGUUUUUGGCAGUCCUCAAGGCAGACCAAGUUCUAACUGGCAUGGAAGUACAGCUACCAUUGUUCAAAGCCCUGGAGACGAAGUUUGGGGAGUAGUAUGGAAAAUGAGCACUAGCAAUUUAAUUUCUCUGGAUAAGCAAGAGGGAGUUGAAGAGGGUCUGUAUGCUCCAAUAGAGGUUGACGUUAGCACUCAAGAAGGAAAUGAAUAUAAAAUGAAAGAAAGAAAAAAAUGAAUACUUCAUCUCUGCACAGAAAUAUAUGUAUAUCAAUUUCCUAAGACACUGUCAGAGAAGAGUACAAUAGUAAAUUGUGCUUAUGAUGAAAGCAGUUAAAUAGCAUUGCAUGACCUUAUACAAAAAAAAUGUUGCAGCUUCCGUUUUCUUCUAGCUUAAGCUUUUAAACUGAAGCAUGUUUCUGUUUACUUUGUGAAGUCAUUAGUAAUACCACUACAAGUUCAUUUCAUUUUCACAUUGAUUCACACAGUUUAUAUCAGGUGCACCUCUGUUAAUGGAAGUGUGGUAAAAAUCCUGUAGGGGCAGUCAUUAUCUACUGUUUUUCCUGUUGAUAGGAAAUGAAAUCGAACAGGAGGUGUUUCGUUAUAAUAAGAUUGUUGAAAACAAACCAAUGCGAUUGCCUGACCUCCCAUUUCAACAUCUGAGAUGCAUUGAAAUAUUUCUGAAAUAAAUAGGAGUCUUGUGGCAAUUUUUACCUCAAAUACAGAACUUUUAGCAGCUUUGCUUAUUGAGGAUUGAAAAACCUUUUGCCAAAGUUGCUCAGUUGGAUGAGACUUUUACUGAAGAUUUAAAGCCCAUUUCAACAGGUUGAAAGCCUAUUUUAAUACUGGGCUUUGACAAUUCUCUGUUUCCUGUUGCGGUUGGAAUAGAUGAUGGUUGAGGUUAUUUCCAACCCUGUAAGUCAGGUUUCCAUGGUUGGAGAUCCUGAAAAGCCUGAUUCUGCUCCCUUUAAAGUCAACAGCAAUGCCAAUUUUGUUAAUAUCAAUGAAAAAAAUGAAAAAUGAGUAUUGGGCCCAAUCAAUUGAAUCUAUUGUUCUUCUUUUUUUACUAUUGUUAAAUAAUUAUGCAGUGCAAAGAACUUACAUUUUUGCAGUCCUACAGAAGUGUGAGUGCUUGUGAGGAGGUAGGGGGAAGGAAUAAUGGCAAAGAUAAAAUUUUCUCAGAUACUUGUUCCAGAUUUAAAAUGUGAUGUUUUUAAUGUCAGCAUGGUACACUGUUGACUGAUUCCUUUGCUUUCUCUAAACAUAUAGUCUCUUGGUUCCAGCCAUAAAAUGCAGAGGGUUUUGUGUACUUGUUAAAAUUUUACCUUAAGUAACAGAAAAUUUUGCAUAAUUUCCUUGUUGCUUGAAUUCAUUUCCUUCAAAAAGGGUCUGAUCCUUUGAAAUCAUAUGACUAACAGAUUUUUUUUCCUGCCACAAGAAGUCUUGUUAUUGAAGACAAUGGGCAGUGACUGUAGAAUCCAGACUUAAUUGUCCAUCCUACUUAACAAGCAGCAAGUCCAAAUUUUCUGCUUGCAAGUGUUAUCUUUUUCUUUCCCUGUUUGUCUGCUGUCUGUUUAGACUGGAAACUCUCUUGGGCAUAAGCUAUUGCAUACUGUGUGUUUGUAGAAAAAAACUAUCAAAAUAUGGUUCUGUAGUAAAGUUUAUUCAGAGAAUAAUUCUGCUUUUUGUAGAUAUUUUAACAUUCACAUAACAAUUCAUUCAAACCAAUACUCUCUACCUAUCUCUAAGCUAUUUUAUUAUUGUCCACAUUAUGUCCUGUGCAUACAGACUACAUGGAGUGGAUCCAGAGCUCAUGAAAAGCU